GAUGAACGCUGGCGGCGUGCCUAAUACAUGCAAGUCGAGCGAACAGAUGAGGAGCUUGCUCCUCUGACGUUAGCGGCGGACGGGUGAGUAACACGUGGAUAACCUACCUAUAAGACUGGGAUAACUUCGGGAAACCGGAGCUAAUACCGGAUAAUAUAUCGAACCGCAUGGUUCAAUAGUGAAAGACGGUUUUGCUGUCACUUAUAGAUGGAUCCGCGCCGCAUUAGCUAGUUGGUAAGGUAACGGCUUACCAAGGCAACGAUGCGUAGCCGACCUGAGAGGGUGAUCGGCCACACUGGAACUGAGACACGGUCCAGACUCCUACGGGAGGCAGCAGUAGGGAAUCUUCCGCAAUGGGCGAAAGCCUGACGGAGCAACGCCGCGUGAGUGAUGAAGGUCUUCGGAUCGUAAAACUCUGUUAUUAGGGAGGAACAAAUGUGUAAGUAACUAUGCACGUCUUGACGGUACCUAAUCAGAAAGCCACGGCUAACUACGUG
rnacentral:rRNA from 1 species